rnacentral:tRNA from 1 species
GGGGUUGUGGCUCAGUGGUAGAGCGCUCUCACCUAGCAUGUGUGAGGCCCUGGGUUCAAUCCUCAGCACCA